rnacentral:lncRNA from 1 species
GCCUUGUGUGAUUAAGAAUUGGGUGAAACUGUGAAGGAGGGAAGCCCCCAUUUGCUCCUAGUUUCAGAGCCUUCCUGGCAUGAUGAGCUCAUAGACUGGAGCUGACUAUGUGGUGCCCUUCCUUUGAAUGUCUAAAUGGCGAGCUGGCAAAAGUAGUACUGGAACAAAUGAGAGAUGGGAAGAAAGGAGAAUGGGAGGAGAAAAAACUCAGGACUCUGAGUAAAUGCCCCUGACCCCAACUCCUCUGCAGAUAAGUUGGAAUCUCCCGGCAGAGAGCAAAGCCUUUCUUGUAGGCCAACACUGCUAUGUUCAGGUGAGGAGCAGAGACACCCAGACAGAAUAUAUGCCUGAGGAAUCAGAGCCAACAGGAGAGCAGAGAGCAAUAACUGGCACAAACCCCUCAAUCUAUUAACUAUCCUCUCUGGAUGACAACACAAACUCACACAACAAAGCCUCAUGAUCUACCUGAUCAAAAAAGUAGUUCUGCUUUUGAUACCAACAAGCCCUGAGAAAUAAUAAGCUUUUAUUUCAGCUAUUAUUUUGUUUGUUUCCUUGUUUACUUGUUUUGCAUGGCCAUGUCCACAGAGCUACAUCUGGUAUUAUGUAUGUCAGGGAUUGCAAGGAGAAAAAGGAAUACAGACACAUGGGGCAAGAGGAUAAGACACACAGGGUAAGAGAAGGUAUCAUUUAUGAUAAGUAUUGCUACCUUUUUAUUUACUUAUUUUUAUUCUUUUUUUUUCAGCUUUAAUUGUGUUUAUUGGUACAUUUUAGGGAUACAGUAUAGUUACAUACAUUGUUGGGAUCUUGUACCUCUACGUGACAAGUCUUGAUUCUCAUUUUUCCCCCCUUACCCCUGCCCUUCCUUCACCCCCUCUUCCCCUCCC